rnacentral:rRNA from 1 species
GGAUGAACGCUGGCGGCGUGCCUACUACAUGCAAGUCGAGCGAACAGACGAGGAGCUUGCUCCUCUGACGUUCGCGGCGGACGGGUGAGUAACACGUGGAUAACCUACCUAUAAGACUGGGAUAACUUCGGGAAACCGGAGCUAAUACCGGAUAAUAUAUUUAACCGCAUGGUUCAAUAGUGAAAGACGGUUUUGCUGUCACUUAUAGAUGGAUCCGCGCCGCAUUAGCUAGUUGGUAAGGUAACGGCUUACCAAGGCGACGAUGCGUAGCCGACCUGAGAGGGUGAUCGGCCACACUGGAACUGAGACACGGUCCAGACUCCUACGGGAGGCAGCAGUAGGGAAUCUUCCGCAAUGGGCGAAAGCCUGACGGAGCAACGCCGCGUGAGUGAUGAAGGUCUUCGGAUCGUAAAACUCUGUUAUUAGGGAAGAACAAAUGUGUAAGUAACUAUGCACGUCUUGACGGUACCUAAUCAGAAAGCCACGGCUAACUACGUG